rnacentral:lncRNA from 1 species
UUUAAUUGGGAUGUCUGAAGUAUUUUCUUUUUCUUUUUAUAAAAAAGAAUAUCAUUAGGAAGUUGAUCUAUCUAAAAUUCAAGAUUUAAAACAUUUAGAGGAUUAAAAAAGGGUUAAUAUCAUUUUACCCCUGUCAUAUAAGCGACUUCUGGUUUAUGCCCCAGUAAUUUUUUUUUGGAAAAGCAACAUUACCAUAUAAAGAUUCUGGUUGUUUAAACCUUGGGGAGGAAUGACACACGGUUCAUGCAUAUGUGUCAUGAUAAGUGGAAUUUUU